rnacentral:rRNA from 1 species
AUUGAACGCUAGCGGGAUGCCUUACACAUGCAAGUCGAACGAGUGGCGAAAGGGUGCGUAUUGUAUCGGAAACUGCCCGUUGGAGGUGGCUAACUACUGGUACCGGUAGCUAAUACCGCAUCCUAUCGGAUUUGCCCAGAUGGGUUUAGCUUGUGGGUGGGGUAACGGCUCACCUGGGCGACGAUCCCUAGCCGGGCUGGGAGGAUGACCAGCCACACUGGGACUGAGACACGGUCCAGACUCCUACGGGAGGCAGCAGUGGGGAAUAUUGCACAAUGGGCGCAAGCCUGAGGCAGCCAUGCCGCGUGUAUGAAGAAGGCCUUCGGGUUGUAAAGUACUUUCAGCGGGGAGGCGUUACUCGCAGAAGAAGCACCGGCUAACUCCGUGCCAGCAGCCGCGGUAAUAC